GUGAGGUAACGGCUCACCAAGGCAACGACGGGUAGCUGGUCUGAGAGGACGAUCAGCCACACUGGGACUGAGACACGGCCCAGACUCCUACGGGAGGCAGCAGCAGGGAAUCUUGCGCAAUGGACGAAAGUCUGACGCAGCGAUGCCGCGUGGGGGAUGACGGCCUUCGGGUUGUAAACCCCUUUCAGGAGGGACGAAAUUGACGGUACCUCCAGAAGAAGCCCCGGCCAACUACGUGCCAGCAGCCGCGGUAAUACGUAGGGGGCGAGCGUUGUCCGGAAUUAUUGGGCGUAAAGAGCUCGUAGGCGGCUUGGUAAGUCGGCCGUGAAAACCAAAGGCUCAACCUUUGGAUGUCGGUCGAUACUGCCAUGGCUAGAGUCCGGUAGAGGAGAGUGGAAUUCCCGGUGUAGCGGUGAAAUGCGCAGAUAUCGGGAGGAACACCAGUAGCGAAGGCGGCUCUCUGGGCCGGAACUGACGCUGAGGAGCGAAAGCGUGGGUAGCAAACAGGAUUAGAUACCCUGGUAGUCCACGCCGUAAACGUUGGGUACUAGGUGUGGCGUCUUAUCAACGGAUGCCGUGCCGAAGCUAACGCAUUAAGUA
rnacentral:rRNA from 1 species